rnacentral:rRNA from 1 species
GACGAACGCUGGCGGCGUGCCUAAUACAUGCAAGUUGAGCGCUGAAGGUUGGUACUUGUACCAACUGGAUGAGCAGCGAACGGGUGAGUAACGCGUGGGGAAUCUGCCUUUGAGCGGGGGACAACAUUUGGAAACGAAUGCUAAUACCGCAUAAAAACUUUAAACACAAGUUUUAAGUUUGAAAGAUGCAAUUGCAUCACUCAAAGAUGAUCCCGCGUUGUAUUAGCUAGUUGGUGAGGUAAAGGCUCACCAAGGCGAUGAUACAUAGCCGACCUGAGAGGGUGAUCGGCCACAAUGAGACUGAGACACGGCCCAAACUCCUACGGGAGGCAGCAGUAGGGAAUCUUCGGCAAUGGACGAAAGUCUGACCGAGCAACGCCGCGUGAGUGAAGAAGGUUUUCGGAUCGGAAAACUCUGUUGGUAGAGAAGAACGUUGGUGAGAGUGGAAAGCUCAUCAAGUGACGGUAACUACCCAGAAAGGGACGGCUAACUACGUG